rnacentral:rRNA from 1 species
GAAGCAACGCGCAGAACCUUACCAACCUUUGACAUGUCCCGUAUGGACUCAAGAGAUGGAGCCCUUCAGUUCGGCUGGCGGGAACACAGGUGCUGCAUGGCUGUCGUCAGCUCGUGUCGUGAGAUGUUGGGUUAAGUCCCGCAACGAGCGCAACCCUCGCCCUUAGUUGCCAUCAUUCAGUUGGGCACUCUAAGGGGACUGCCGGUGAUAAGCCGCGAGGAAGGUGGGGAUGACGUCAAGUCCUCAUGGCCCUUACAGGUUGGGCUACACACGUGCUACAAUGGCGGUGACAGUGGGAUGCAAUGGGGCAACCCUGCGCAAAUCUCAAAAAGCCGUCUCAGUUCGGAUUGCACUCUGCAACUCGAGUGCAUGAAGUUGGAAUCGCUAGUAAUCGCAGAUCAGCACGCUGCGGUGAAUACGUUCCCGGGCCUUGUACACACCGCCCGUCACACCAUGGGAGUUGGUUUUACCUGAAGACGG